GUUGGGGCAGGGCCAGGGGAGGGCCACGAAGAUGAUCAGAGGGCUGGAGCAGCUCAGGGACGGGGACAGGCUGAGGGAGUUUUGGGUACUUCAGCAUGGAGAAGAGAAGGCUGCGAGGAGACCUUCUGGCGGCCCGUCAGUACUGGAACGGGGGCUACGGAAAAGCUGGGGAGGGACGUUUCAUGAGGGCAUGUUGCGACAGGACGAGGGGAAAUGGCUUGGAACUGGAAGAGGGUUGAUUUGGACUGAAUAUUAGGAAGUAAUGCGUUACUGUGAGGGUGGUGAGACACUGGAACGGGUUGCCCAAGGAGGCUGUGGAUGCCCCCUCCCUGGAAGCAUUCAAGGCCAGGCUGGAUGGGGCCCUGGGCAGCCUGGUGUGGUGGUUGGCGUCCCUGCCUGCGGCGGGGGGGCUGGAACGAGAUGGUGUGAAAGGUCCCUUCCAGCCCACAGCAUUCUGUGAUUUUAAUUGCCUGGCAUUCCUUAGUGUCCCCAGCUCCCCCGAGAGCGCUGCCACCAGGCUGAGCAGACCAUCCACCUGCUCUCACCUCAUGCAGGUGGUCUCUCUGCCGCCCUCGGAUGGCAGCAGCAGGCUCGGGCACUCCGUGCGGCCCGAGACCUGAGGAGCUGUAUUCCUGGGUAGGCACGCAGUUUGGGUAGGUGCGUUCUUUUUGGCAAGAGCUUUCUUCCUGGUGGAGGCCACGGCUAGGUUUGUUGUCGAGGAGGAAGCCAAUAGGUGAGGUGGUCUCCUGAGUGGGGAGGGAGAGUCUGCCUUCCCUGCUCGCCGUGCCUGCGCCAACGGCUGUGCCACAGUCUGUCUGCUGGCUCUGUUCAGCCACGCUCCUGGUUGAGCACGGCCCCUGAGAGGAGCCUUUGUACGUUCAGGAUUUGACCCCGUCACUCGUGGCUCCGCUCACAGCGCCUCAGAGCCCCUGUGCUCGCACUCUGUGAGGGGACUGCGGGUCCCUGCCUCUCCCUGAGCUGUUUCCCGCAGAUUUCUUGCGAUGGCUCGGCUCCGUCCUCAUCCUCUUCCCCCG
rnacentral:lncRNA from 1 species